rnacentral:rRNA from 1 species
GAUGAACGCUGGCGGCGUGCUUAACACAUGCAAGUCGAACGGGAAACCUUUUAUUGAAGCUUCGGCAGAUUUAGCUGGUUUCUAGUGGCGGACGGGUGAGUAACGCGUGGGUAACCUGCCCUAUACAGGGGGAUAACAACCAGAAAUGGUUGCUAAUACCGCAUAAGCGCACAGGGCCGCAUGGUCCGGUGUGAACAACUCCGGUGGUAUAGGAUGGACCCGCGUUGGAUUAGCCAGUUGGCAGGGUAACGGCCUACCAAAGCGACGAUCCAUAGCCGGCCUGAGAGGGUGAACGGCCACAUUGGGACUGAGACACGGCCCAGACUCCUACGGGAGGCAGCAGUGGGGAAUAUUGCACAAUGGGGGAAACCCUGAUGCAGCGACGCCGCGUGAAGGAAGAAGUAUCUCGGGAUGUAAACUUCUAUCAGCAGGGAAGAUAGUGACGGUACCUGACUAAGAAGCCCCGGCUAACUACGUG